UCCGAUAGCGAACAAGUACCGUGAGGGAAAGUUGAAAAGUACUUUGAAGAGAGAGUAAACAGUACGUGAAACCGCUCAGAGGUAAACGGGUGGAGUUGAACUGCAAGCUCUGAGGAUUAAGCUGGUGAGUAUGGCAUGAGCUGGGUCAUGUUGGUUGUGAGUCUGGGUCUGCUUAGCCGCAGGUUCUCGCCUUCUGGUGGGAAUGCGCGUUGCACUUAUCAAGUGUUGUG
rnacentral:rRNA from 1 species